rnacentral:rRNA from 1 species
GAAAGCCCCGCAAGGGGUGAGUAGAGUGGCAAACGGGUGAGUAACACGUGGGUGAUCUGCCUCAGAGUGGGGGAUAACGACCCGAAAGGGUCGCUAAUACCGCAUAACAUCCUGCCUUUGGAUAGGUGGCGAUCAAAGUUGGGGAUCCGCAAGGACCUGACGCUUGGAGAGGAGCCCGCGGCCGAUUAGCUAGUUGGUGAGGUAACGGCUCACCAAGGCAACGAUCGGUAUCCGGCCUGAGAGGGCGGACGGACACACUGGGACUGAGACACGGCCCAGACUCCUACGGGAGGCAGCAGUGGGGAAUUGUUCGCAAUGGGCGCAAGCCUGACGACGCAACGCCGCGUGGAGGACGAAGAUUUUCGGAUCGUAAACUCCUUUCGAUCGGGAAGAACAGCUCUCGAGUUAAUAGCUUGAGGGUCUGACGGUACCGAGAGAAGAAGCCCCGGCUAACUCCGUGCCAGCAGCCGCGGUAAUACGGGGGGGGCAAGCGUUGUUCGGAAUUACUGGGCGUAAAGGGCUCGUAGGCGGCCAACUAAGUCCGACGUGAAAUCCCAAGGCUUAACCUUGGAACUGCGUCGGAUACUGGAUGGCUUGAAAUCGGGAGAGGGAUGCAGAAUUCCAGGUGUAGCGGUGAAAUGCGUAGAUAUCUGGAGGAAUACCGGUGGCGAAGGCGGCAUCCUGGACCGACAUUGACGCUGAGGAGCGAAAGCUAGGGGA